rnacentral:rRNA from 1 species
CAACAGGGAUUGCCUUAGUAACUGCGAGUGAAGCGGCAAAAGCUCAAAUUUGAAAUCUGGCGUCUUUGGCGUCCGAGUUGUAAUUUGGAGGGAUAUCUUCGGAGAUGGCACCGUCCUAAGUUCCUUGGAACAGGACGUCAUAGAGGGUGAGAAUCCCGUGCCUGGAUGGAUGUCCAUCUCCAUGUGAAGUGUCUCCGACGAGUCGAGUUGUUUGGGAAUGCAGCUCAAAAUGGGUGGUAAAUUUCAUCUAAAGCUAAAUAUUGGCGAGAGACCGAUAGCGCACAAGUAGAGUGAUCGAAAGAUGAAAAGCACUUUGAAAAGAGAGUUAAAAAGUACGUG